rnacentral:rRNA from 1 species
AUUGAACGCUGGCGGCGUGCUUUACACAUGCAAGUCGGACGAGUGGCGAACGGGUGAGUAACGCAUCGGAACGUACCGAGUAAUGGGGGAUAACUGUCCGAAAGGACAGCUAAUACCGCAUAUUAUUCGAGCGGCCGAUGUCUGAUUAGCUGGUUGGCGGGGUAAAGGCCCACCAAGGCGACGAUCAGUAGCGGGUCUGAGAGGAUGAUCCGCCACACGGGGAUGGGUGCACGGCCCAGACUCCUGCGGGAGGCAGCAGUGGGGAAUUUUGGACAAUGGGCGCAAGCCUGAUCCAGCCGUGCCGGGUGUCUGAAGAAGGCCUGCGGGGUGUAAAGGACUUUUGUCAGGGAAGCGGUACCUGAAGAAUAAGCACCGGCUAACUACGUGCCAGCCGCCGCGGUAAUAC